rnacentral:tRNA from 1 species
GUGGCUCAGUGAUCAAGCACUUGACUUGCAAUCUGCAGGUCGUGGGUUCGAAUCCCGCC